GCCCGUGUAGCCUAAUGGAUAAGGCGUUGCCCUCCUAAGGCAAAGAUUGCGAGUUCGAGUCUCGUCUCGGGUG